GUCCGCCACCUCACCUCCUCCCGCGCUCGCGCCGUCAAUGGAAGGUCCGCUAGAUCUCCUCUCCCUACAUGCGCCGAUUCGCUGAGGUCUACACCACCAUGGGGGAGUAUGACAAGGGCGUCGUCGAGCGUUGUGCCAGGAAGCAGCUCCUCACCACCGGCUUCCACCGGCAGCUCCUCACCACCGGGAGGAAGCAGCUCGUGGAGAUGCUCAAGCGGUCACCCUAAUUCCUCUCCACCCGCGUCCACCUCUAGGUCCGCGCGGGCGAGCGAUCCAACGAGGCACCGUUCUCCCCAUCAAGGGUUUCAUAACAAAUGCUGUGAAAAGACAUAUGAGACUUCAAUAUCUUCUUCUGAGCUAAGCUGUCUUGGUACAUAUUCCCUACUAAUUUAUAUCGUUAUUUUUAAUUUUAAUGAUAUACAUUGCUUACAGAUACUAUUUACAUAUCUAAUGUCUUUUUUGGAACAUCUUAGCCACUAGGAUCAAGAAGAUCCUAACCUCACAAUGAUGUGUUGUUGUUCUAAAAAAUGCAUCCAAAACAGUUUCUUCUUUAUAGUUUGUAGACAUUAGGUGGCUAUACACUUUCUGUCUUGAUUAUACAAUGAAGCCUUUAGCCAAUCUUAUGGAAAAUAUUGACCUAUGUUUCAUUUUUUAUGCCACACAAUGAUUUAUUUUUUCCCAAGACCAUGCCUUAUCACACAUGCUACUGCUGGGUUGUGAAAAAUAAUUUCAUUUUGUCAAUGUGCCUCAAGUCAAUCUUUUGAAUUUUAUUAUCAGUCUAAAAUACUUAUUUGUUGUUUGUUUACAAUGGCUAGAAAUAUUCAUUAUUACUGACCUAACCCAUAAGACCUAGCUGAUUGCUCAAGACAGUUACACAAUUAAGGGUUUCAUUCUAAAUAUUCAUUAACUUGGGAUUCCUAUGUUGCAGGGCAAAGCACCAAAAAAUCAUUCUAACUUUAUGCUUGAUAAAUUGAUAACUAGCAUAUUAGUUGUUACAGUCAAGCAUCAUGAUUAUGAAUCUAGAUUUUAUUAAUGAGUCAAGCAUCAAGUACUUAUGUUAAAUACUCUUGCUUGCAUGGACUUCUUGAGCAAAAACAUUAUGUGACGCUGUUGGCAGGAGAUAGAUACUUUGCUACAGAUUCUCAAGGAGACAACAACACAGAAUCAUAUAAAACAUAGUACCAAACAUGAAUGGCUUCAAGGCUAGCAAAUGUUCGAGGACACUUGAUCUGCACCAAUGAGGUACAACCUUGCAACUUCCAAGUAUGGAUCAAUAUUUCGUUCAGCAACUAAAUAGCAUGAAUGUGUAGUUGCCAUUUUUUUCUCCUUUUUAAUUACACAUGCCAAUAUGCCGCACGGAAACAAAGCACAUUCAUCACUGUUUUUCCCCAGUCAUUGUUGCUCCAAGGAUAACAGGUACGUUUACCGCAAAAACUGAGAAUGUCAGGUAUUAUCUAUUUUUAAGUUGUUGCAUCCUCAUAUCUAAUUUUAACUUGUUGGCUCAUCAUAGGUACUACCUCGUAACAAGAUUACUACUCCCUCUGGUGUCCUAUUAUUUGUCGUUUUGGACGAGGUUUAAGUCAAACUUAUAAAUUUUUGACUACAAAUAACUGUUUUGUUAUUUAGUUUAAAACCUAAUAUUUACAUGCACCAAUUUGUCUUAAAAAGUACAUUCAUAAAAAUAUAAAUGUAUAAAGAGUUCAUUUGUAUUUUAACAAAAGUCUUUGGUCAAAGCCAUAUUCUGGAGACUGUGUCAUUGUCCUAAACCACGAAUAACAUUGGAGGGAGUAAAUUAUAUCUCAUGUCUAUCAGCAAAGUUUUUACUUUUUAGGUUCUAUAAUUGUCUAAUUUUUGUAACCCCUAUUUUUUGGUAUCUCAAUUGUUGCAGUCAGGAAACCUUCCAUUACGACCUUAUUUCUGCAGAAGUAUGACAUCAACUUUCAUCUAUUCUCUACCACCAAAGAGAUGGAAAAGCAGGUUGCCCCCACCCCCAUAACAGGUUUACCUAUGUUAUAUAAAGACGCCGUAGCAACGCACGUGUAAAGAUACAAAUGGAUACACCAUCUGGUGUGAAGGGUUCCAUUCUUUCCUGCAUCAAGUUUUCUGUGCAGGUUCCAGAUAAAAUACCAUACAAUGGUAUAUAUUACGACCCACCCAAAGAGAUAUGUUCAAAUUUUUAUCUUGCAUUUUUAGUAAACUAUCAUUCAAUGCAAUGUAUUAUCAUUUUAUGAUUCAUUAAAUUAUGUGGUGUUUUAUAUAGAUUGACAUUUCAAGUAUUUUAUCUAUUAGUUUUGUCAUAACAACAUAUAGCUCAAAUAUUGAUUAUCCUUUUUCAGACGUAUAGAGAAUAGACUUACUACUAAUAGGAUCAAAACAUGUAAACCAUAGAUAGGAAAUAAGUAAUAUGUGACUACUAUCCAUAGCCUUACUCAAAGAAGCAGCCAAAUGCACAUGUCCAACUUAGUAUUUGGUAAUGGCCUGGCACCGGUGCAGUAGACGCCAAUGUUGUGCAUGAGCAGAAGAAAUGUUAUUCCCUUCAAUAUUAGUAGAGGUAGAGAUAUUUACUUUUACCAGCAUUUGUGUUGUGAUAGCUAUUUUUAGCCUAAUGUUUCAGGUUAAAGGGCCAUACUUCAUAGCUAUUUUCCCCUCAAUGUUUCAAGUGAAAGGGCCUAAGAGUAUUGGAGCACUCUAUGUUACCUGCUAGGCGCCAACUAUUCAAAAUUUAUUCUAGGGUAGUAGAUAAUUUUCCUUGUCGAGUUUUAUUUUGGUAUAUGUAACUUUGUAAUUGGGCCUAAGCGUAUUGGAGCACUCUAAGUUAACAGGUGUUUGAAGCUGAUGAUGAAAUUAUACAGC